UGGUGGAGUGAUUUGUCUGGUUAAUUGCGAUAACGAACGAGACCUUAACCUGCUAAAUAGCCCGCAUUGCUCCGGCAGUGCGCUGGCUUCUUAGAGGGACUUUCGGCUCAAGCCGAAGGAAGUUUGAGGCAAUAACA
rnacentral:rRNA from 1 species